rnacentral:rRNA from 1 species
CGAUUGAAGUCAGUCGUGCUGGCGCGAAAUCAGCUCGACCACUAGGGGAUCACGGGCCGUAGCGAGCCUCAAAACCGCUACGACUUGUGAUUGCUUAGUGGCCUGGUGCACUUUCGUGUCGGCUGGUUAACAUCAAUUUCGAUCGUCAUAAAAAGGCUGGAGGGAUGUGGCUCCUUCGGGAGUGUUAUAACCUUUGGCGGAAUGUGGUGGUCGGGAUUGAGGUUUGCAACGAAUACCUUCAGGGCUGUUCCACCUGGCCUCUCAUCGGCAUCCUGGCGGCGACAGCUUGCU